GCGCAGCAGGCGCGAAACCUCCGCAAUGCACGCAAGUGCGACGGGGGAACCCCAAGUGCCACUCUUAACGGGGUGGCUUUUCAGAAGUGUAAAAAGCUUCUGGAAUAAGGGCUGGGCAAGACCGGUGCCAGCCGCCGCGGUAACACCGGCAGCUUAAGUGGUAGCCGCUUUUAUUGGGCCUAAAGCGUCCGUAGCCGGUCUGAUAAGUCUCUGGUGAAAUCCCGCAGCUUAACUGUGGGAAUUGCUGGAGAUACUAUCAUGACUCGAGGUCGGGAGAGGCUGGAGGUACUCCCAGGGUAGGGGUGAAAUCCUGUAAUCCUGGGAGGACCACCUGUGGCGAAGGCGUCCAGCUGGAACGAACCUGACGGUGAGGGANNANNGNNNGGGGCGCGAACCGGAUUAGAUACCCGGGUAGUCCUGGCCGUAAACGAUGUGGACUUGGUGUUGGGAUGGCUUCGAGCUGCCCCAGUGCCGAAGGGAAGCUGUUAAGUCCACCGCCUGGGAAGUACGGCCGCAAGG
rnacentral:rRNA from 1 species